rnacentral:tRNA from 2 species
GCAGUCGUGGCCGAGUGGUUAAGGCGACUGACUAGAAAUCCAUUGGGGUAUACACGCACAGGUUCGCCUCCUGUCGACUACG